CCUACGGGAGGCAGCAGUGGGGAAUCUUGCGCAAUGGGCGAAAGCCUGACGCAGCGACGCCGCGUGGGUGAUGAAGGCCUUCGGGUUGUAAAGCCCUGUGGAGGGGGAAGAAUAAGGGUAGUUUAAUACGCUAUCCGAUGACGGUACCCCUUUAGCAAGCACCGGCUAA
rnacentral:rRNA from 1 species